GAUGAACGCUGGCGGCGUGCCUAAUACAUGCAAGUCGAGCGGAAAGACCCGGCGCUUGUGCCUUUGUCGUUAGCGGAGGAGGGGAGUGUAACGUGUGGAUCACGUACUUAUCUGUGUGGUAUCACUUGGAGACACGGGAGAUUAUAGGGGAGGAUCUCCUGAUGCGUGGGGGGGAAUGAAGGAUUCGGCGGUUGGGGAUGGAUUCGCGGCUAAUCAGCUCGUUGGUGGGGUAGUGGCUUACCAAGGCUUUGCCGGGUAGCCGGCCUGAGAGGGUGACCGGCCACAUUGGGACUGAGAUACGGCCCAGACUCCUACGGGAGGCAGCAGUGGGGAAUAUUGCACAAUGGGCGGAAGCCUGAUGCAGCAACGCCGCGUGCGGGAUGCCGGCCUUCGGGUUGUAAACCGCUUUCGCCUGUGACGAAGCGUGAGUGACGGUAAUGGGUAAAGAAGCACCGGCUAACUACGUG
rnacentral:rRNA from 1 species